rnacentral:SRP_RNA from 1 species
GCUGGGUGUGGUGGCACACGCCUGUAAUCCAAGCCGCUGAAGCUGACAGAUCGUUUAAACUCAGGAGCUCUGAGCUGCAGUGGACUAUGCAGAUCGGGUGUCCGCACUAAGUUCGGUAUCGAUAUGGUGCUCCUGAGGGAGCUUGGUACUACCAGGUCCCCUAAGGAGGGGUGCACCGGCCCAGGCCGGAAACGGAGCAGGUCAAAGCCCCCGUGCCGCUCAGUAGUGGGAUCGCGCCUGUGAAUAGACGCUGUAUUUCAGCCUGAGUAAUACAGCGGGACCCAGUCUU